AGCCCUUCAGCAAAGUUGGUGAGAGUGUGGGGCUGAUAACGCCAAGGUUGCAGGUUCGAUUCCCGUAAGGGAUA